rnacentral:rRNA from 1 species
GACGAACGCUGGCGGCGUGCCUAACACAUGCAAGUCGAACGGAAAGGCCCUGCUUUUGUGGGGUGCUCGAGUGGCGAACGGGUGAGUAACACGUGAGUAACCUGCCCUUGACUUUGGGAUAACUUCAGGAAAAUGGGGCUAAUACCGGAUAGGAGCUCCUGCUGCAUGGUGGGGGUUGGAAAGAUUCGGCGGUUGGGGAUGGACUCGCGGCUUAUCAGCUAGUUGGUGGGGUAGUGGCUUACCAAGGCUUUGACGGGUAGCCGGCCUGAGAGGGUGACCGGCCACAUUGGGACUGAGAUACGGCCCAGACUCCUACGGGAGGCAGCAGUGGGGAAUAUUGCACAGUGGGCGGAAGCGUGAUGCAGCAACGCCGCGUGCGGGAUGACGGCCUUCGGGUUGUAAACCGCUGUCGCCUGUGACGAAGCGUGAGUGACGGUAAUGGGUAAAGAAGCACCGGCUAACUACGUG